rnacentral:rRNA from 1 species
CCUGGGUCAGAUUGAACGCUGGCGGCAGGCCUAACACAUGCAAGUCGAGSGGAAACGGCAGCAUUGAAGCUUCGGUGGAUUUGCUGGACGUCGAGCGGCGGACGGGUGAGUAACGGCUGGGAACCUGCCCUGACGCGGGGGAUAACCGUUGGAAACGACGGCUAAUACCGCAUAAUGUCUUAGUUCAUUACGAGCUGGGACCAAAGGUGGCCUCUACAUGUAAGCUAUCGCGUUGGGAUGGGCCCAGUUAGGAUUAGCUAGUUGGUAAGGUAAUGGCUUACCAAGGCRACGAUCCCUUAGCUGGUUUGAGAGGAUGAUCASCCACACUGGGACUGAAACACGGCCCAAACUCCUACGGGAGGCACCAGUGGGGAAUAUUGCACAAUGGGGGAAACCCUGAUGCACCCAUGCCGCGUGUGUGAAAAAGGCCUUCGGGUUGUAAAGCACUUUCACCAUUGAGGAAGGUGGUGUACUUAAUACUUGCACGGCUUGACUUUACCUGCAAAAAAACCACCGGCUAACUCCGUGCCACCACCCGCGGUAAUACGGAGGGUGCGAUGACGUUAAUCGGAAUUACUGGGCGUAAAGCGCAUGCAGGCGGUUUGUUAAGUCAGAUGUGAAAGCCCGGGGCUCAACCUCGGAACCGCAUUUGAAACUGGCAGGCUAGAGUCUUGUAGAGGGGGGUAGAAUUUCAGGUGUAGCGGUGAAAUGCGUAGAGAUCUGAAGGAAUACCAGUGGCGAAGGCGGCCCCCUGGACAAAGACUGACGCUCAGAUGCGAAAGCGUGGGUAGCAAACAGGAUUAGAUACCCUGGUAGUCCACGCCGUAAACGCUGUCUACUUGGAGGUUGAGGUUUAGACUUUGGCUUUCGGCGCUAACGCAUUAAGUAGACCGCCUGGGGAGUACGGCCGCAAGGUUAAAACUCAAAUGAAUUGACGGGGGCCCGCACAAGCGGUGGAGCAUGUGGUUUAAUUCGAUGCAACGCGAAGAACCUUACCUACUCUUGACAUCCAGCGAAGCCUUUAGAGAUAGAGGCGUGCCUUCGGGAGCGCUGAGACAGGUGCUGCAUGGCUGUCGUCAGCUCGUGUUGUGAAAUGUUGGGUUAAGUCCCGCAACGAGCGCAACCCUUAUCCUUGUUUGCCAGCACGUAAUGGUGGGAACUCCAGGGAGACUGCCGGUGAUAAACCGGAGGAAGGUGGGGACGACGUCAAGUCAUCAUGGCCCUUACGAGUAGGGCUACACACGUGCUACAAUGGCAGAUACAGAGGGCAGCGAAGCUGCGAAGUGGAGCGAAUCCCUUAAAGUCUGUCGUAGUCCGGAUUGGAGUCUGCAACUCGACUCCAUGAAGUCGGAAUCGCUAGUAAUCGUGGAUCAGAAUGCCACGGUGAAUACGUUCCCGGGCCUUGUACACACCGCCCGUCACACCAUGGGAGUGGGCUGCACCAGAAGUAGAUAGCUUAMCCUUCGGGAGGGCGUUUACCACGUGUGGUUCAUGACUGGGGUGAAGUC